rnacentral:rRNA from 1 species
UACGUAGGGGGCUAGCGUUGUCCGGAAUCAUUGGGCGUAAAGAGCGUGUAGGCGGCCUGAUAAGUCGGCUGUGAAAGUCAAGGGCUCAACCCUUGAAUGCCGGCCGAUACUGUCAGGCUAGAGUCCGGAAGAGGCGAGUGGAAUUCCUGGUGUAGCGGUGAAAUGCGCAGAUAUCGGGAGGAACACCUAUGGCGAAGGCAGCUCGCUGGGACGUUACUGACGCUGAGACGCGAAAGCGUGGGGAGCAAACAGG